rnacentral:rRNA from 1 species
GUUUGAUCCUGGCUCAGAGUGAACGCUGGCGGCAGGCCUAACACAUGCAAGUCGAACGGCAGCACAGAGGAGCUUGCUCCUUGGGUGGCGAGUGGCGGACGGGUGAGGAAUACAUCGGAAUCUGCCCAGUCGUGGGGGAUAACAUAGGGAAACUUAUGCUAAUACCGCAUACGACCUACGGGUGAAAGCGGGGGAUCGCAAGACCUCGCGCGAUUGGAUGAGCCGAUGUCCGAUUAGCUAGUUGGCGGGGUAAUAGCCCACCAAGGCGACGAUCGGUAGCUGGUCUGAGAGGAUGAUCAGCCACACUGGAACUGAGACACGGUCCAGACUCCUACGGGAGGCAGCAGUGGGGAAUAUUAGGACAAUGGGCGCAAGCCUGAUCCAGCCAUGCCGCGU